CCGUAGCCAUUUUGGCUUGUUCUGU
rnacentral:misc_RNA from 1 species